CUUGUGGACACCUUCCAACACAUCCGAGACCCUGGCACCAGGGAGGCAAACUACCAUCCGCGUCUCCUGACUGUGUCCACAGAAUCGUAUAUCCGACCCCCUAACUAUAGAGUCUCCAAUUACUUUUGCCCUCCUCUUCUUUUCCCUACCUUUCUGAGCAACAGGGCCGGUCUCUGUACCGGAG